AGAUUGAACGCUGGCGGCAUGCCUUACACAUGCAAGUCGAACGGUAACAGGUUAAGCUGACGAGUGGCGAACGGGUGAGUAAUAUAUCGGAACGUGCCCAGUAGUGGGGGGAUAGCCCGGCGAAAGCCGGAUUAAUACCGCAUACGACCUACGGGUGAAAGCGGGGGAUCGCAAGACCUCGCGCUAUUGGAGCGGCCGAUAUCAGAUUAGCUAGUUGGUGGGGUAAAAGCUCACCAAGGCGACGAUCUGUAGCUGGUCUGAGAGGACGACCAGCCACACUGGGACUGAGACACGGCCCAGACUCCUACGGGAGGCAGCAGUGGGGAAUUUUGGACAAUGGACGCAAGUCUGAUCCAGCCAUGCCGCGUGCGGGAAGAAGGCCUUCGGGUCGUAAAGUCCUUUGCUCGGGAACAAUAUUUUGAGCGUACCGAGAGAAUAAGAGGUUGCUAACUCUGCGCCAGCAGCCGCGGU
rnacentral:rRNA from 1 species